GGCAACUUGGCCGAGCGGUCUAAGGCGCCAGACUCAAGCGGUCAGCUUGAUCCUCUUAGAGGAUUAGCAUUCUGGUCUCGAAAGAGGCGUGAGUUCGAAUCUCACAGUUGUCA
rnacentral:tRNA from 1 species